rnacentral:rRNA from 1 species
AUUGAACGCUGGCGGCAGGCCUAACACAUGCAAGUCGAGCGGUAACAUUUCUAGCUUGCUAGAAGAUGACGAGCGGCGGACGGGUGAGUAAUGCUUGGGAAUAUGCCUUUUGGUGGGGGACAACAGUUGAAACGACUGCUAAUAUCGCAUAAUGUCUGAGGACCAAAGCGGGGGACCUUCGGGCCGUCGUGCCAAAAGAUUAGCCCAAGUGAGAUUAGCUAGUUGGUGGGGUAAUGGCUUACCAAGACAAUGACGCCUAACUGGUUUGAGAGGAUGAUCAGUCACACU